rnacentral:rRNA from 1 species
AAAGUUUGAUCAUAGCUCAGGAUGAACGCUAGCGACAGGCCUAACACAUGCAAGUCGAGGGGCAGCGGAGAGGUAGCAAUACCUUUGCCGGCGACCGGCGCACGGGUGAGUAACACGUAUGCAAUCCACCUGUAACAGGGGGAUAACCCGGAGAAAUCCGGACUAAUACCCCAUAAUAUGGGCGCUCCGCAUGGAGAGCCCAUUAAAGAGAGCAAUUUUGGUUACAGACGAGCAUGCGCUCCAUUAG